ensembl:misc_RNA
AAGACAGCAAAAUUGAAGAUGAGAGUCCUUUAUCCACAACAGUAGAAGUUUCCCCAAAUCACAAUGUCAAUGUUCCUCAAUUCUGACCUAGAGGAACCACCUCUAGGGAUGAGAGGGCAGCUCAGCUUCCAGGCCUACUGUCUUUUCUUGGAAAAA